rnacentral:tRNA from 1 species
CGAGGUAGUAUUUAUAGGGAUUGCUAAUCCUUAUCUCCGAGAAUAACCUCCUCGGCUCCCCCA